rnacentral:rRNA from 1 species
AUUGAACGCUGGCGGCAUGCCUUACACAUGCAAGUCGAACGGCAGCACGGGAGCAAUCCUGGUGGCGAGUGGCGAACGGGUGAGUAAUGUAUCGGAACGUGCCCAGUCGUGGGGGAUAACGUAGCGAAAGCUACGCUAAUACCGCAUACGAUCUAUAGAUGAAAGCGGGGGAUCGCAAGACCUCGCGCGAUUGGAGCGGCCGAUAUCAGAUUAGGUAGUUGGUGGGGUAAAGGCCCACCAAGCCUGCGAUCUGUAGCUGGUCUGAGAGGACGACCAGCCACACUGGAACUGAGACACGGUCCAGGCUCCUACGGGAGGCAGCAGUGGGGAAUUUUGGACAAUGGGCGCAAGCCUGAUCCAGCAAUGCCGCGUGCAGGAUGAAGGCCUUCGGGUUGUAAACUGCUUUUGUACGGAACGAAACGGCUUUUUCUAAUACAGAGAGCUAAUGACGGUACCGUAAGAAUAAGCACCGGCUAACUUCGUGCCAGCCGCCGCAGUAA